UUAGCACAGUGUCUAUCUAGCACACAGGAAGCAUCCGAUAUACAGCAGCUAUUAUUAUCAAAAUAUGUACUUGUCAAGCUGUGAGAGUGAACUAACAUGUGAAAAGCACUUAGAAUCGCACACGGCAGAUGCCAAUCACACUACAGCAAUCAUGUAUAUGCAAGUUCGUGUUCCCCUGUGCGCAGUGAGAGCAGAUAAACUGAAAUGUCAGAGUCUGGGGCAGAGAAAGGUUUAUUGCAAGGUCACACAAGGAGACGAGGUGGCUCAUGCCCUGAAAAGCCCUGAGCUCCCUGAAAGGUUUUGGCAGAGCAUUUUUAAAGGGCAGGUGAAGAGGAGGUCGAAAGGUAGUGAUCAGCUUGUGCACGGCCAAUUCUCUGAUUGGCUGAUGUUGAGACAGUCAGGUGGUAUCACAGAGGUUAUCAGUCCUUGGGCUCCAGGAGGCCUGAGGCUGUGUGCUCAUGGUCAGCAAGUACUUCCUCCAUCUGAGGGGGCAGGUGGUUCCCAUCUGCAAAACAGCUCAGGAAAUGUCCAUCAGAUACUAUUAUCUAGGUACUCCAGAUAGGGGCUAAAGCAGAGGGUAUGGCGGCGGGGGCCGUGGUGGUCUGUCCUGGGAAGGCCCCAUAGGGUUCUUGUUGUUCAGUCUCUAAGCCCUGUCCAACUUUUCGCAACCCCAUGAACUGCAGCACGCCAUGCUUCCCUGUCCUUCACUUCCUACCGGAGUUUUUGUUCAGAUUCACGUCCACUGAGUCGGUGAUGCCAUCCAACCAUAGGGUCCUGCUUGGUUAUAAUCAUGUGAUGAUGAUAAUGAGGAAGAGGGUAUAACGAUGAUGAGCUUCCAUUCCCUUUUCUCUCAAUAGAAUUGUCUUCCUAUGAUGAGACUUCAGGAGGAUUAAGGAGGAGGUGAUUCACCAUCAGACCUAAGGAUGAACUUACUAAUAUUAAAAGCCAUGUAUGGAUGUGAGAGUUGGACCAUAAAGAAAGCUGAGUGCCAAAGAAUUGAU
ensembl:lncRNA